CUUAACACAUGCAAGUCGAACGAUGAACCAGGAGCUUGCUCUUGGGGAUUAGUGGCGAACGGGUGAGUAACACGUGAGUAACCUGCCCUUGACUCUGGGAUAAGCGUUGGAAACGACGUCUAAUACCGGAUACGAGCUUCCACCGCAUGGUGAGUUGCUGGAAAGAAUUUUGGUCAAGGAUGGACUCGCGGCCUAUCAGCUUGUUGGUGAGGUAAUGGCUCACCAAGGCGACGACGGGUAGCCGGCCUGAGAGGGUGACCGGCCACACUGGGACUGAGACACGGCCCAGACUCCUACGGGAGGCAGCAGUGGGGAAUAUUGCACAAUGGGCGAAAGCCUGAUGCAGCAACGCCGCGUGAGGGACGACGGCCUUCGGGUUGUAAACCUCUUUUAGCAGGGAAGAAGCGAAAGUGACGGUACCUGCAGAAAAAGCACCGGCUAACUACGUGCCAGCAGCCGCGGUAAUACGUAGGGUGCAAGCGUUGUCCGGAAUUAUUGGGCGUAAAGAGCUCGUAGGCGGUUUGUCGCGUCUGCUGUGAAAUCCCGAGGCUCAACCUCGGGUCUGCAGUGGGUACGGGCAGACUAGAGUGCGGUAGGGGAGAUUGGAAUUCCUGGUGUAGCGGUGGAAUGCGCAGAUAUCAGGAGGAACACCGAUGGCGAAGGCAGAUCUCUGGGCCGCUACUGACGCUGAGGAGCGAAAGGGUGGGGAGCAAACAGGCUUAGAUACCCUGGUAGUCCACCCCGUAAACGUUGGGCGCUAGAUGUGGGGACCAUUCCACGGUUUCCGUGUCGUAGCUAACGCAUUAAGCGCCCCGCCUGGGGAGUACGGCCGCAAGGCUAAAACUCAAAGGAAUUGACGGGGGCCCGCACAAGCGGCGGAGCAUGCGGAUUAAUUCGAUGCAACGCGAAGAACCUUACCAAGGCUUGACAUAUACGAGAACGGGCCAGAAAUGGUCAACUCUUUGGACACUCGUAAACAGGUGGUGCAUGGUUGUCGUCAGCUCGUGUCGUGAGAUGUUGGGUUAAGUCCCGCAACGAGCGCAACCCUCGUUCUAUGUUGCCAGCACGUAAUGGUGGGAACUCAUGGGAUACUGCCGGGGUCAACUCGGAGGAAGGUGGGGACGACGUCAAAUCAUCAUGCCCCUUAUGUCUUGGGCUUCACGCAUGCUACAAUGGCCAGUACAAAGGGCUGCAAUACCGUAAGGUGGAGCGAAUCCCAAAAAGCUGGUCCCAGUUCGGAUUGAGGUCUGCAACUCGACCUCAUGAAGUCGGAGUCGCUAGUAAUCGCAGAUCAGCAACGCUGCGGUGAAUACGUUCCCGGGCCUUGUACACACCGCCCGUCAAGUCAUGAAAGUCGGUAACACCCGAAGCCAGUGGCCUAACCGCAAGGAAGGAGCUGUCUAAGGU
rnacentral:rRNA from 1 species